rnacentral:rRNA from 1 species
AGGACGAACGCUGGCGGCGUGCUUAACACAUGCAAGUCGAACGGUGAAGCCCUUCGGGGUGGAUCAGUGGCGAACGGGUGAGUAACACGUGAGCAAUCUGCCCUUGACUCUGGGAUAACUUCGGGAAACCGGAGCUAAUACCGGAUAUGACACAUGGCCGCAUGGUUUGUGUGUGGAAAGAUUUAUUGGUCAGGGAUGAGCUCGCGGCCUAUCAGCUUGUUGGUGGGUAAUGGCCCACCAAGGCGACGACGGGUAGCCGGCCUGAGAGGGCGACCGGCCACACUGGGACUGAGACACGGCCCAGACUCCUACGGGAGGCAGCAGUGGGGAAUAUUGCGCAAUGGGCGGAAGCCUGACGCAGCGACGCCGCGUGAGGGAUGAAGGCCUUCGGGUCGUAAACCUCUUUCAGCAGGGACGAAGCGAAAGUGACGGUACCUGCAGAAGAAGCGCCGGCUAACUACGUGCCAGUAGCCGCGGU